rnacentral:rRNA from 1 species
GACGAACGCUGGCGGCGUGCUUAACACAUGCAAGUCGAACGGAAAGGCCUGCUUUCCCUUGUGGAUUGCGGGUACUCGAGUGGCGAACGGGUGAGUAACACGUGAGUGAUCUGCCCCCAACUUGGGUAUAAGCCUGGGAAACUGGGUCUAAUUCCCGAUAGGACUGCAGGGUGGUGCCUGUGGUGGAAAACGAUUUUCUAGUGGUUGGGGAUGAGCUCGCGGCCUAUCAGCUUGUUGGUGGGGUAAUGGCCUACCAAGGCGGCGACGGGUAGCCGGCCUGAGAGGGUGGACGGCCACAUUGGGACUGAGAUACGGCCCAGACUCCUACGGGAGGCAGCAGUGGGGAAUAUUGCACAAUGGGCGGAAGCCUGAUGCAGCGACGCCGCGUGGGGGAUGACGGCCUUCGGGUUGUAAACUCCUUUCGACCGCGAGGAAGCCACCUGGUUGGAAGGGUGGUGACGGUAGUGGGAGAAGAAGCACCGGCUAACUACGUGC